UGUGUGUGUGUGUGUUUGUUUAACUUGUGGACAAAGACUUAAUUGACAGGUGCAAAAAUUAAAUCCUCUUUUGCAACCCAGAACUCAAAAUUGUACAGUAUGAGUUUUGAUACACAUUAGAAGGAAUAUG
rnacentral:snoRNA from 1 species